UACAGAGGGUGCGAGCGUUGUCCGGAAUCACUGGGCGUAAAGGGCGCGUAGGCGGCUUGAUAAGCGUGCGGUGAAAGCCCGGGGCUCAACCCCGGGUCGGCCGUGCGAACUGUCGAGCUGGAGCACUGUAGAGGCAGGUGGAAUUCCGGGUGUAGCAGUGAAAUGCGUAGAUAUCGUGAGGAAUACCAGAGGCGAAGGCGGCUACCUGGACAAUUGCUGACGCUCAGGCACGAAAGCGUGGGGAGCAAAAGGG
rnacentral:rRNA from 1 species